rnacentral:lncRNA from 1 species
GAACAUCUGACAAGAAACAGAAAGCCACUUAGAAUGCAACCUCUGUGAAUUAUCCCUCUAAACAGAAAGGCGCCACAUUCUUGGAUCUUGCUUGGGCAGAGUGCAGUUCCUAUAAGAGAAACAAAAGUUUUUACUUGGCAGAAUGAGAAAAUUGCAUUGCGGAAAACAGGCAAUAUGCAAGUCUUCUCUGGGAUUUGCUGCUUGAGCGAAGGCUAAUCUUCACAUAUUCUGAGGGCUCACCUGUCUUUAGAAAUACAGAGUACCAUCUGA